CGUUUAAGCAGUGACACCCGGAGAGCCAAACGGAGAAACCUCAGUCGCGGCCCAGCGCACAGCCGGCCCCAAGGCCCCUGUUAUGUCAGAGCCACCGAGACAGCGCGACACAACAGAAGCCCCCGGAGAGGCGACGACUCGAGCAAACAGUACAGG